rnacentral:rRNA from 1 species
AACGAACGCUGGCGGCAUGCCUAACACAUGCAAGUCGAACGAGACCUUCGGGUCUAGUGGCUCACGGUUGCGUAACGCGUGGGAACCUGCCCUUAGGUUCGGAAUAACUCCCCGAAAGGGGUGCUAAUACCGGAUCAUGUCUUCGGACCAAAGAUUUAUCGCCUUUGGAUGGUCCCGCGUUGGAUUAGCUAGUUGGUAGGGUAAAAGCCUACCAAGGCGACGAUCCAUAGCUGGUCUGAGAGGAUGAUCAGCCACACUGGGACUGAGACACGGCCCAGACUACUACGGGAGGCAGCAGUGGGGAAUAUUGGACAAUGGGCGAAAGCCUGAUCCAGCAAUGCCGCGUGAGUGAUGAAGGCCAUAGGGUUGUAAAGCUCUUUUACCCGGGAUGAUAAUGACAGGACCGGGAGAAUAAGCUCCGGCUAACUCCGUGC